CCCAAAAUUUCAUGUCAACCUUCCUCACCCCAACAUAAGUAGCUCCACUGCCUUAAGCUACUACCGGAGCAGUGGCCGGAAGUUUGGCCGGAGCCUUCACUGGUCUAUUUUUUUUUUGAAGCAGAUACACUAAUUUGAUGCCACUUUUUGGUCUUAAUGAUGAUACCAUAUAGAUGGUGGACAAACUAAGCGAUGAGUACUAACUGCAUACCACUAUAUCCUGGAAACUUAAAAUCUGUGAGGGGUGAAAUAUUUUGGUCUUUUUUUCUCCCCUUGGGUGAGUGGGCAAGCAAUCUGCUUCUGAUACUUUUUCAGGGAUAAAAUUGUGGACUUUCACUGGAAUGUAUCGGAUCCAUGGACUAUUGUUACUGCCCCUCUCAAAUUUGUGGCUAUGGCUAAAGAAGAUACCGUGUUUAAGGAGCAGUUGUGAUGUGAUGGUUUCAAGGAUUUAAAAGACCAAUUUUGGAUUUUGUAAACCUUAUGGUGGAGGUGGCGCUGGUUUUGGUUUGGAAGAAGAAGAUGAAGUUGGAGGGGGAGGAGGAGAAAGGGCGCUGGAAAGAACAAUUUUGGAAAGGGUUUUUUCUUCUUUAAAUUCAUUUUGUUUUUUUGGUUAAUUUGUGUUAAGUUUUAAUUACAAAUUACACGUGUCGUUCAUUGAUUGGCUCAUUUGGCAAGUGUAACUCACGCAUCUGGUAUGUUGCACUGGGGUGUGUAUUUGAUUUACUUAACAGUCACUUGAAAUGUCUAGCUGGAAAUGGUGUCA